GAGAUUUGGAGUGCUCGCAAGAGAACCGGAACACAGGUGCUGCAUGGCUGUCGUCAGCUCGUGUCGUGAGAUGUUGGGUUAAGUCCCGCAACGAGCGCAACCCUUGUCAUUAGUUGCCAUCAUUUGGUUGGGCACUCUAAUGAGACUGCCGGUGACAAACCGGAGGAAGGUGGGGAUGACGUCAAGUCCUCAUGGCCCUUAUGGGUAGGGCUUCACACGUCAUACAAUGGUCGGUACAGAGGGUUGCCAACCCGCGAGGGGGAGCUAAUCCCACAAAGCCGAUCGUAGUCCGGAUCGCAGUCUGCAACUCGACUGCGUGAAGUCGGAAUCGCUAGUAAUCGUGGAUCAGCAUGUCACGGUGAAUACGUUCCCGGGUCUU
rnacentral:rRNA from 1 species